GGUUAAGCGACUAAGCGUACACGGUGGAUGCCCUGGCAGUCAGAGGCGAUGAAGGACGUGCUAAUCUGCGAUAAGCGCCGGUAAGGUGAUAUGAACCGUUAUAACCGGCGAUUUCCGAAUGGGGAAACCCAGUGUGAUUCGUCACACUAUCGUUAACUGAAUACAUAGGUUAACGAAGCGAACCGGGGGAACUGAAACAUCUAAGUACCCCGAGGAAAAGAAAUCAACCGAGAUUCCCCCAGUAGCGGCGAGCGAACGGGGAGCAGCCCAGAGUCUGAAUCAGCAUGUGUGUUAGUGGAACGGUCUGGAAAGUCCGACGGUACAGGGUGAUAGUCCCGUACACAAAAACGCAUGUGUUGUGAACUCGAAGAGUAGGGCGGGACACGUGGUAUCCUGUCUGAAUAUGGGGGGACCAUCCUCCAAGGCUAAAUACUCCUGACUGACCGAUAGUGAACCAGUACCGUGAGGGAAAGGCGAAAAGAACCCCGGCGAGGGGAGUGAAAAAGAACCUGAAACCGUGUACGUACAAGCAGUGGGAGCACCUUCGGGUGUGACUGCGUACCUUUUGUAUAAUGGGUCAGCGACUUAUAUUCUGUAGCAAGGUUAACCGUAUAGGGGAGCCGAAGGGAAACCGAGUCUUAACUGGGCGUUAAGUUGCAGGGUAUAGACCCGAAACCCGGUGAUCUAGCCAUGGGCAGGUUGAAGGUUGGGUAACACUAACUGGAGGACCGAACCGACUAAUGUUGAAAAAUUAGCGGAUGACUUGUGGCUGGGGGUGAAAGGCCAAUCAAACCGGGAGAUAGCUGGUUCUCCCCGAAAGCUAUUUAGGUAGCGCCUCGUGAAUUCAUCUUCGGGGGUAGAGCACUGUUUCGGCUAGGGGGUCAUCCCGACUUACCAACCCGAUGCAAACUGCGAAUACCGAAGAAUGUUAUCACGGGAGACACACGGCGGGUGCUAACGUCCGUCGUGAAGAGGGAAACAACCCAGACCGCCAGCUAAGGUCCCAAAGUCAUGGUUAAGUGGGAAACGAUGUGGGAAGGCACAGACAGCCAGGAUGUUGGCUUAGAAGCAGCCAUCAUUUAAAGAAAGCGUAAUAGCUCACUGGUCGAGUCGGCCUGCGCGGAAGAUGUAACGGGGCUAAACCAUGCACCGAAGCUGCGGCAGCGACACUAUGUGUUGUUGGGUAGGGGAGCGUUCUGUAAGCCGUUGAAGGUGGCCUGUGAGGGUUGCUGGAGGUAUCAGAAGUGCGAAUGCUGACAUAAGUAACGAUAAUGCGGGUGAAAAACCCGCACGCCGGAAGACCAAGGGUUCCUGUCCAACGUUAAUCGGGGCAGGGUGAGUCGACCCCUAAGGCGAGGCCGAAAGGCGUAGUCGAUGGGAAACAGGUUAAUAUUCCUGUACUUGGUGUUACUGCGAAGGGGGGACGGAGAAGGCUAUGU
rnacentral:rRNA from 1 species